GCCGGGAGUGGUGGCUCACACCUGUAAUCCCAGCACUUUGGGAGGCUAAGGUGGGUGGAUCACCUGAGGUCAGGAGUUCGAGACUAGCCUGACCAACAUGGUGAAACCCCAUCUCUA
rfam:Macaca mulatta chromosome 12, whole genome shotgun sequence.